GGGGGCGUUAAGGUUUCGACGGGAUUGUUGAAGCCGGAGAAGCGGGUAGUGGAUUCUCGUAGGCCACUUUAAAAAACGGGAAACAAAUUUAAACGCUAACAAUAAUAGCAAUUUAGCUUACGCAGCCUAAUUAAGGCAGCCGUCCUACCUUAGAACACCACGGCUUUGGAUAGGGCGUCGACAGUGGUGAACGUGACACGAUAAAGCUUUGAGUCGUGCAUGACAAAUGAAGCUACUGAAGCUGCAAGCCUGUUCAUGGGCGUGCAGGAGAGGGAAUGAAAAACCAUGAACUGCACCCGGAGAUGCUCUUGUGAAUACGGUUUCGGACGCGGGUUCAAUUCCCGCCGCCUCCACCA
rnacentral:tmRNA from 1 species